rnacentral:rRNA from 1 species
AUGAACGGGCCGGUUGAUCAACUUGCAGCACCUGAAAUCGAGAAGUGUCUACUGCUGAGCUGGGAGACAAGGUUCCGUAUAAUCUAUGGGACGGCACGAGGUCUCCUAUACCUUCAUGAGGACUCACAGAUAAAGAUCAUACACCGCGAUCUCAAGGCAAGCAACAUCUUGCUAGACACCGACAUGAACCCCAAGAUCUCAGAUUUUGGCCUGGCAAGGCUCUUCAACAGUGACAAGCCGAGUACCACCACGGGCCAAGUCGUCGGAACAUUGUAA